rnacentral:lncRNA from 1 species
GAAUGAAUUAUUAAGGUUAAUUUUGGAAAUUAGUAAUUAAAGUGAUAAUUAAUUAUAUAAAACAAACUAUUAUCAUUCAUUAUCAACAUCUUCCACUGAAUUUAAAGAGAAAACCUAGCCAUAGAAGCUUGAAGUUUUGGCAAGCUUAUUUUGCUCAAUUAGGUAUGCAUUUCUGUCCCUUUUUGAUGAUCUCUAUGUUUCCGGGAUCGUUGCAGCUUAUUCUAGCUAGCCUGGGGACUAAUUUAAAAAAUUGUUAAAUUAUUAGAGUUUGACCAUUGUUUAAUAUACUUGAGUUUUGAAUUUUGAUGAUAGAAAAUGAAUGGUUGUUAGAUAAACAACUAUUGUAAAGAGAUUUUUGAUGAAAUUGUCAAUUAGGGACUAAAUUGAAAAUUAGAAAAUAUUACAUGGUGAAAUUGUGAAAUACUUAAAGUAUAGGGAAUGCUAGGGACCUAAUUGAUAUUCAGCCAUAGUGGGUUGUGGUGAAAUUGUGUAAAUUUCCAUUUUUAUGAGCUAGGGACUAAAUUGCUAAGAAAUUAAAAGUAUAGGGGCAAAAUGGUAAAUUUUCAAAAAAAUAUAUUUUGGAUUAAAUUUAAUGAAUUAUAUUUUAAAUUGAGUUAAAUUUAUUCAUAUAGAUCCAGUUAGACCUCAUACAAAGUUAGAUCGGGGCAAAGAGAAAGUCUCAGAUUAAUCGCCUCCGUAUCUACGAAUACUCGUCGAGGUAAGUUCGUGUAAUUAAAUUGUAUUUAUAUGUUUUUAUUUAAAAUAUAUAAAUUUUAUGAUUUUUCUUAUAUAAUUACCGAAUCUAUAUCCAACGACGUACGACAAAUAUUGAGCACUGUUUGAACCAUAGGAAUCCGUAGGAUACAAAUGACAUGUCAUUACGGUUACCAAUCUGGCUGAGGUCCUGCAUGUGUUGCGGAUACUCCACCACUUGUGAGAGCAUACCAAUUUAUAGCUCAUGAGAGCAUACCGACUUAUAGCUUAUGAGAGCGUACCGAUCUACAGCUCAAAUGAGCAUACCUAUUCACAGCUCAUAUGAGCAUACUUGUACAUGAAUUGAAAGAUUACAGUUACAUGAGGUAGCACGCUAUGCGUGAGUUAUCCCAGGUAUCCAACAGUAUUCUAAACAGUUCAACGAGCAAUGUUCUGAUAAGAAAUGAUAUGAGUUUGAUAUGAACUAUUACAGGUAUACACAUGAAAUGCAUGGAAAUGAUGUUACAUGAUUUAUAGAUAUAUGACAUGGAUGAUACAUGUAUAUGGAACUUGAUUAAUUGUUGAGCUCAUCCACGAUUAUUGGUUCAUAUAUGUAUUUACAUGGCUAAUAUGGUUGGUAUCUUUGUGCUUAGGCAUUUGGCCUAAAUGUGUUGGAAUAUGUUUUGUUACUUACCUAUUACUUGAUUAAAUGGUAAGUUCAAGUCUAAGUUAUACGAACUUACUAAGCUUAAAUGCUUACUGUGUGUUAUUUUUUCGUGUUUUAUAGUGAAUCAGAAGCUCGUUCUGGUUGAAAGAUUGUCAGAGCUAUAUCACACUAUCCAUCGGCUCUUUUGGUACUUUUGGAUGCUUAAUUUUGGUUAUAAUGGCAUUUAUAGGUAUUAGCCUUGAAAUGGUUGAUGAUUUGCUUAAUGUGUUUGAA